UACAUCGAAACUGGGAACCACGUCUGCUUUGUAAUGAACAGGCUUGGAGUCACCCCUGCAGAUCCCUGCUCGCCUCUGGGCGGGGAAGGGUCAGUACCAGCUAGGACUCGGGAUGAGCUCUGGAGCCAUAGGUAGGAGAAAGGCAGAAUACUUGGAAAAAUCAUUCUUAAGGAAGUCCUUCCCAAACAGAAGGGCUGGGUGGAGCCCAGGUGGCUCCUGGGAAAGAUUCAGUGUCUUCACGGAAGCAAGCACCGAUUUCUUCGUGGUGAAGAGAAACCAACCUUGCUCAUCCCCUCUGCCUGUGUCUGGAGACCUCUGACCAGACCUUAACCAAGAUGAGAAAAAAUGAAGUUCAAAAGCGUUGUCUACCUGAAGUCACUCAGCCAGUCAGUCAUCUCCUGGAACACGACGGGUGCUCAGAUACGUGUGGCCUGAGUGAAGUGACAGGAUGCGGUUACUUGGUUUGGGCUGGCUCCGAAGCCCAGGCCCAUCCCACUGCUGCACAGCGCCAUGUGAAGGGCCGUCUGGGAAAAUUCGAGACCCCUCUUUCAGUCUUUCUCUUUUUCUCUAGUACUUUUGCUCAACUUCCAACUCAUCGAAGGCUUCAAGUUCCUGCAGAACUGCAGAUGCAGUUCUGUUUGCACCAUGAACAUCUCUCAGCCACAUUUAGGGAUAGACUCCUAAUAACGAGCACAUAUUUUCUUUUCCUAUCAUUUUCCCUCAGCUUUAUUCAGAUAUGAUGGAAAUAAAAAUUGUGUAUAUCUAGGUUGUACAACAUAA